rnacentral:lncRNA from 1 species
AAAAAUAAAAAAAUAUCACUAAAAAAUGUCCCCCUAAAAUUUUCCUAUAAUGGACCCUAUAAUAAAAGAGUACUUAAUCUAAAAAUCCCCAAUAAUUAACAUUAAAUGAAACAUCACGAAGACUGAAGCCAGACAAACCAGUUUUGUAUCCUGCAUUCAUUGUUGGACCCCACCCAUCAUUUCCAUGCCAAGACCAGUUAAUGCGUCGUAGGGAAACGUGAGAAAAUAGGGUCGGUCACUUCAAAAAUCCCCCACUCGGCACUCCUAAAUCAACCGCCACUUUUUCAGAUCUGUGAUUUCAAGGUACUCCUCUCUGCCUCCUCUACAACCGUCUUUUCCUCUGCAAACCCUUUUCUCUGGCAAAGCAUCAACAAAACCUCUCAAUUUCUUGAUCAACAAUGGCCGACGACAAUAUUUCAACUCCCACUGUUCCUACCACUGACACAACCACGGUCAUCACCAGCGAGGCCAUCCCCAUCAGCAAUACCCCAAUUUUCACCAUCUCCGCCUCCGUUCCCACCACCAUCUCAUCAAUCGUGGUAGUUCCCGUCACCACUACAGUGAUCUCCACAAUAGCCACCACUGCCUAGAGGUGUUCAUGGGUAAAAAAAUUGUAUCGGACCGAAUCGAACCGAACCGUACCGAAUACCGAAAGUAGCUAAUUUCAUGUAUCGAUAUUAGUAUCGAUUAAACCGGUAUCUUGAAUCGAUUACCCGGUUCGUUACCGGUUUAUACAUGGUUUGUACCGGUUAUGUGUAAGAAAUAAAUUAAUCAAUUCAUGUACCUGUUCUGCUCUGCUCUGCCGUUCAUGUAUAAACACCCUCAAACUCAAUUGACGCAUUCAUGAUUCAUGUACACAAAACACCCUCAAUUCAUGUAUGUACCCUCAAUAAGACAUAACAUCAAUAUUAUACAAAACAAUACUUCUCCAAAAUAGGACAUAACAUCAAAAUAAAAUAAUAAAACAUCAAGUUUCUUAUUCUGCAC